rnacentral:rRNA from 1 species
AAUCAACGCUGGCGGCGUGCCUAACACAUGCAAGUCGAACGAGAAAGUGGGGGCAACCCCAUGAGUAAAGUGGCAGACGGGUGAGUAACACGUGAACAACCUACCCUCGAGUGUGGAAUAACACCGCGAAAGCGGUGCUAAUACCGCAUAAUAUUUUCGGGUCGCAUGACCUGAAGAUCAAAAGCGCAAGUUGCUUGAGGAGGGGUUCGCGCCCGAUUAGCUAGUUGGUGAGGUAACGGCCCACCAAGGCUCCGAUCAGUAGCCGGCCUGAGAGGGCGAACGGCCACACUGGAACUGAGACACGGUCCAGACUCCUACGGGAGGCAGCAGUGGGGAAUUUUGCGCAAUGGGCGAAAGCCUGACGCAGCAACGCCGCGUGGAGGAUGAAGGCCUUCGGGUCGUAAACUCCUGUCAGUGGGGACGAAUGCUUCGCAAGAAGUUUGACCGUACCCGCUGAGGAAGCCACGGCUAACUCCGUGCCAGCAGCCGCGGUAAUACGGAGAUGGCAAGCGUUGUUCGGAAUUACUGGGCGUAAAGGGCGCGUAGGCGGCUUGGCAAGUCAGAUGUGAAAGCCCCGAGCUUAACUUGGGAACUGCAUCUGAAACUGCUUAGCUUGAGUCCUGGAGGGGAUAGUGGAAUUCCCAGUGUAGCGGUGAAAUGCGUAGAUAUUGGGAGGAACACCUGCGGCGAAGGCGG